rnacentral:rRNA from 1 species
UGUGGUGAUGAUAGCACAAAGGAUACACCCGUUCCCAUGCCGAACACGGAAGUUAAGCUUUGUCACGCCGAUGGUAGUUGGGGGAUCGCUCCCUGCGAGAGUAGGUCGUUGCCAUGC